GGAUGCCGAACUGAUGAAGGAUACCAAGAAGUUGAAUUAAUUUUUAUUUUUUUUUUAAUUCUUUUUUCAUAAUGAUCAAAAUUCAAUAAGUUCCAAAAAAA
rnacentral:ribozyme from 14 species